rnacentral:lncRNA from 1 species
GUUCACAUAUGCACAUCCCUAUGCAUGCACAGUAGACCCAAGAUGCACCUGUGUCUCACCAAGAGAUAUAACUUGAAGGAGUCAAGGAAGGGGCUGAAACCUGAAAGAUGGGAACUUCUGAACUAGGCUGUGGAACACUCCCCCCCCCCCAUGAGGACAACAUUUUCCCUGGGGAAAAGUGGUCAAGUGAUGGUAGGUGGGGGAAAAGCGGAUAAGGCCAAAGCACAUUAUCACAAAAAGGGCCACAGCUCAGUAGAAGGGCACAUCCUUUGCAUAAAGAUGGCCCCAGGUUGAAAUCCAUGGCAUCUCCAGCUAGGACUGAGCGAGACAUCUGUCUGAAAGCCUGGAGGGCUGCUACCUUAGUGUUGACAUAGAUGGACCAUAAUAGGGCAGCUUCUUUAUGUGCCUAUGUACAUACAUACCACAUUCACACACACACACCCAUUCACUUACACAGAUUCAGCUUGCUUUUCUUCCACCUUAACCUAUACCUGUGCCCAGUAACAUUUUAAAAAUUGCUCACUGGAGACAGAGAAACCAAAUCAACAUGCGUAUGAAGCAAGGGCAGAAGUUACAAACUCAGGACCGUCCCUGCUUUAAACAGGAGCUCUAUUACCUAUGGAUGUAUAAUAAUGGGAAAUGUGCUAUCAUUCUGCCGUGCAGUGUGGCAUUCUUGGCUAUACCUAACCAUUUCUAGCAGCUCCCACAUGGCAGCCCUCACAUAAGAAAGCGCCACAGGAGAGGGAGCCGUUGUGAGGGGCUGCAGCGAUCCUUUCUCGAAUCCCAGAAAGCUGUGAAGAAAUCCUGUGGGGUGUUUCCCCAACGCAGUCACUCACGACCAUGCAUGUAAUGAAAAUGCCUGGCUAGCUCAAUAGGCCAAGCUCUUUUCUGCACUCAAGAGCUCUCGGGCAAAUCGGGAGAAGGGAAGACGACGAAGAAGAAAAACUCUCUUCUGGUGCGUGAUUUUCCCCAAAGCUCUGGGGGGAGGAAAAGAAAAAAGAAAAACCACAACGGUGAAGAAUGUGCAGCUUUUCAGUGAAUUCCCCACCGGGGCCCAAGGCCUCCUUCUCACACAUGAUUAGUGUGUUUACCCUUGUAACACGGCAAAGGCGCACAAUGGGACCUCUGAGGAGACAUUUCCCGCCAUUUUCCCCUCUUCAUUGUAGCCUUUCACUUUCCUCUUGCAAACCCCCACCACCAUUUUUUUCUUCCUCCUUCCCCCGCUGCUUCCCCCCUUUUUUUUCCAGGGAGAUAAAAGCCUGAAUUUGUGAAUCACUCUAUUACAAAGGAGGGAAUGACAAAAGCGAAGAGAACUGGAGUCUUUAAUGCCGCUCCACCAGUGAAAAGGGCUCGAGGCCUAUGGGAUGAAGAAUAAGCCUUUGGCGGUGCUGAUGAUUCCUUCUCUUCCCCCUCUAUUGUAGAUGUACAAGGUCUGCAGAAGAGGCGGAUGGAGGGGGGGACGGACAGCAGUGCCAUGAGGGGCUUAUCUGAAAUAAAACAGCAGCUGGGGGAAUUCCUGAGGACCGCCGCGCCGAACUGGCAGGCAGAGCGAAUGGCAAAAGAUCGCUCUCAGGCGUCCCUGAGGGCCCCGGCCCUUGAACUCCACGAACUUUGGUUGUGAAGUAAUCCUUCCCAGCCAAGCGCUCAACAAGAAAAUUAAGACUACGCCUCCCGUACAAUAAAGGACAGGACGGCAGGUGUUUCGAGGGCAUAGGUUAAUAUACCCUCCGACAUGGGCUGGAGGAAGAGUGGGGGUACAGCGGGGUAUGUUUGUUUUUAAGGUGGUUGAGUAAACAAAGUAAGCCUUUACGCAAUGCCUUUUAAAUCAGGUCCCCGUCCCCCAAAAUGCUUGAGUUCAUUGGCCCCCUUGAGGAGAUUAUAAAGUUGUUGUUGAUCCCGACCAAGAGUCUUAGGAACAUAAAUGAAUUAAAAUCAAGAAAUACUGGCAUGUAAUCAAUAUUGAGCACUGUGACCAGGAAUCAUAAAAUGUUAAAAAGGAAUACUGUUGCAUUGUGGAAUCAUCUUAUUAAACACAGAGGUUCCCUGGUGGCAAGAGAUGUGUACUCCGCACAUGCCCCUUGUUUCUGAGGCUCAGAGUUCCCAAUUCAAUUUUUCACAUUAUAACUCAUUAACAUCUUUCCCCUCCUUAGGACUUUUUUCACCCCAAGGUCUUUAUUCACCCCCUGCACAGUCCCAAUGACCCCAGGGGGUCAAUACUGACAACUUGGGGAAAACCCUGAUUUAAUUCAACCAAAUAUAUAAUCUAAUUGUACAAAAGGUUCUUAUUGUGGC